AUGCAUGCAUGUGCGUCGCAAAUCAUUCGCACGUUCAGUCACACAGGCCGGCAGACGAUCGAUCGAUCGACCAGGCGCCGCAGAGUGACCAGCGAAACAUUUAUUUAUUUUUUUCCAGAAAAAAAGUGGCGAGUGAAACUUACUUGCAGCGCGGCGGCGUACAGCUCCCGGCCUCUCCUCAGCAGGGCGUCCAUGCCGUCGCCGUCGUGCUCGUGGUCGUGCUCGACGUCGACCCUGGCGCGCUGCCGGGCCUGGAUCUUCACCAGCGACUCGAGGCCCCGCAGCGUCGCCGCCGUCUGCCGCCGCACCGCCUGCCCGCGGAUCACCGCCUGCAGCCUCACAAGCCCCUUGAGCGCGCGCAGUGCCCUCCGCGCCUGCACCCACAGCGACAGCGUUACUACAAGACAAGACAGAGCCAGCUUUAAUUUCCUUGCCCAACUACAAUGCUUACAGUACUUACGAGGUAUCCGCGGUAGGCUGACUGGAUCGCGACGGCGGCGAACAGUUCGUGGCCGGAAGACGCGGGGUCCUCACGCGCCGGCGCCGGCGAGGGCUGUCCUGUGA
rnacentral:rRNA from 1 species